GGGGGCGACUGGAUUCGACUGGGCACUUGAAGUGUGAGUUGCAUGUCGUGGUUGGUCAGAAUGCCACGUAAAAAUCCGACUAAAAAAUAAACGCCAACAAUAAUAUGGCUCUUGCCGCCUAAGAAGAGGCGACCGUGCAUGGGUUUCCCUGACAGAUGGAGGCCCAAUGUAGCGUAACGAAGUCUGUUAUGUCCUGAUUCACGGCAGUACGGUUGGGGCGAGAUUUGUUCUGUCUGGUUCCUGAUCCACCCUUUCGGUUGGGGGGAGAUGGAGCGAGAUUUAAAGAAUCGAAUACACAUGUAGACGCUCACAGGGAUAUGUCGCAGGACGCGGGUUCGAUACCCGCCGCCUCCAAUU
rnacentral:tmRNA from 1 species